UGUAUACAAUUUCAUUGGUAGAUAUGAUUUUUAUAAUAUGAUUUAGUGGCCUAUUUAACAAGCUUUCUAGCAUGUGGAUUUUCAUGGACUGCUUCAUCACAUUUUUUCCUUUGUUUUUUCCUAUAAUCUUAACAUUUGAUCAUCUAAUUAAUAACUACGUUGAUUAUAGAAUUUUAAAUAACAUGACUUGGGGUAAUAACAUGAUAUGGAACAUACAUCUAACUUUUUUUAUUUUUUAUAAUGUUAAUAAUAAUGUUUAGGUUAAUAUUUUGAUUGGUCUUAAAGCAUUGGAUCGAUAGCUAAUUGCAAGAGGUAGUUGACAGAAUGGAACAUUUGGUUUUGGAGCAAGAAAAGCAAUAUCCAUCUGGAGUCUAUAUUGAGAUGCAUUUCUUUGGCGCAAUACUAGACAACAUUGGUAGUUGAAGUUUUUAGAAUCAAAAAUAUAUUUCACUAAUUUUGUAUACAUUUCUUGUUUCAUAUUUGGCGAUGAUAGAAUUUGACUGUAGUAUAAACUAUCAUGUAAUAUGAUUUUGUAA